rnacentral:lncRNA from 1 species
GACUUAGAAAAUUAACACCAGGAUUAAGAAGGGGAAAUACUGAUCUGGGCGUUGCCAGGAUUUUCGACUGCUUUUCAUUUUUUCUUUCAGCCUUCCUCCGCCUCUGACGUGCACCCAGAAGGACGUGACACGAGAUUGCCUCCAGCCCCUGCUGACCCAUCCUCCCCGCUGCAUUUCCCACAGCCCGUGGUGGAGAUACCACAGCCCGGCUCUCGCACCGGCUCCGGCCCAGCAGAAACAAGGAAAAGUAGCAUGAGUAGCACGAUGUCGAGCAGCUUUAGGGAGAGUGAGGCCCAUCAGUUUCUGUUGUUCAACAUCACCUCCAAGUACAGUGAGGUCUUAGAGGAAGUGCCGAAGAACAAGUUGCAGCCUGGGGACAUCCUGCUCUUCCCCUUGGACAGCAAAUAUGGCAGAGCCAGUGGCAGCCUCAAGCACGCAGCAGUCUACUGUGGGGAUGGAGAAGUCAUACACUUCCAAGAUAGAGGAAGGGGGAAGAGUGGUCUGAUCCUCAAGGAGGGCUUCCGAGUCAUGAAAAUGGAGAGGAAGGAAUACCAGGUUUAUCGCAAAAAAGGUGGGAUCAACCUCAAUGACUUCCGUGUUAAGGUCAGGAAGGCGAUGAACAGCCAAGCCAAGUAUAGUCUGCGGAAAAACAACUGCAUCCACUUUGCCCUCUUCCUCGUGGGCUUGGCGGACUUCGACAUGAAAGAGGUGAGCACGGAGCUGGGUCUCAUGGCUGUGGUGGGAUGGCUCCUGCCCCCACAGCCAGCCCUGCGCUUGAAUCCUGACCUGCUUCCCCCCGGGGCUGGCCCAUGGGCUGUGGGGACAGCGGUGGGGACAGCCGAGCCCCCUGCACAUGGACAGCUUUCUCUUGCAGGUGGAAACCCCUGACGAAGAUUACAGCUACAGCGAUGGGGCCGUGAGUAUCCCUGGUGUCAGCCCUCCCCAGCACGGCUGUGGGGUUCUCGGGAGGACUUGGUGUCCCAAUGAGGGCUGGGUCCCCAAGAGGACUUUGGGGUGCCCACGAGGCCUGAGUCUCAAAGAGGAGUGGGGACUCUGGGUGGGCUGCAGAGUCCCCAGGAGGCCUGUGGGCCUCCCAAGGGAGCUGGGGUGUCUCCGAAGCUGGAGUCCCCAAACAAGGCUGGAGUCCCCAAACAGGGCUGAGGUCCCGAGAAGCCCGUCUAGGUCUCCAAAGAGCUGUGAGGUCACCAGGAGGCCUGGGGGGUUCCCAGGAGGGCUGGGUUUCUGCUGA